AACGAACGCUGGCGGCAUGCCUAACACAUGCAAGUCGAACGAAGCCUCCGGGCUUAGUGGCGCUCGGGUGUGUAACGUGUGGGAAUCUUCCCCUUGCUUCGGAAUAACAGUUAGACAUGGCUGCUAACACCGGAUGAAGUCUUCUGACCAAAGAUUUAUCUGCAAGGGAUGAGCCCGCGUAGGAUUAGGCGGUCGGUGGCGUAUAGGCCUACCAAGCCGACGAUACUUAGCUGGUCUGAGAGGAAGAUCAGCCACACUGAGGGUGGGACACGGCCCGGAAUCCUACGGGAGGCAGCAAUGGGGAAUAUUGGACGAUGGACGCGAGUAUGAUGCAGCCAUGCCGCGUAAGUGAUGAAGGCGGUAGGGUUGAAAAGCUCUUUUACCAGGGAUGAUAAUGACGGUACCUGAAGAAUAAGCUCCGGCUAACUCCGUG
rnacentral:rRNA from 1 species